CAGCCCCUGACGCCCAGUGGUCUCUCUUUCUUUGCAGGAGCAAUUUCUUGGGGGACAGCGACUCCUAUGGAUGUCGUGAAAAGUCGACUCCAAGCUGACGGCGUGUAUUUAAACAAAUACAAAGGUGUCCUAGACUGUAUCUCCCAGAGUUACCAGAAGGAAGGUCUGAAAUGCAUGAGCCCUAUAGCAAAAACCCCUCCAAAAAAAAGAGAAAGAAGUUGGAAUGUUGCGCCUGCCUCUGGGCACUGGGACAAAUCAUGGACGACUGGAAACCAGGGUCAUUUUUGUUCUUUUUAAAAAAAGAGCUGUUCCAUCAGAAGGAUGACACCCAAGUACAGCCUCAGUUGUCUUUUGUGUUUGUUUUUUCUUUUUUUUAAACAGAAGCUCAGUUUGAUUCAAUCAACUAGUCCAAAAAAGACCCAAGAAGAGAUUCAAAUGGGAUGCUCUGUUUCUAUUUGAGAUUUUUUUUGUCUUUCCCCCCAAAUAUUAAUGGGUCACAAUUGUAAAAAAUUUAUAGAGGCAAAAUAUAUUGCAUAUUUCAUCCAAAAACUACUGUUCUCUGUCUAAAAAAAAAAAAUGCAAUUCUAGAUGGCAGCUGAGGACAGAUGGUUAGUUUCUUCAUCUCACUGGCAUUUG